rnacentral:rRNA from 1 species
UACAGAGGGUGCGAGCGUUGUCCGGAAUCACUGGGCGUAAAGAGCGUGUAGGCGGUCCGGUAAGUCCGCUGUGAAAGUCGGGGGGCUCAACCCUCGAAUGCCGGUGGAUACUGUCGGGCUAGAGUGCGGAAGAGGCGAGUGGAAUUCCUGGUGUAGCGGUGAAAUGCGCAGAUAUCAGGAGGAACACCAUAUGCGAAGGCAGCUCGCUGGGACGUAACUGACGCUGAGACGACGAAGCUGGGGAGCAAACAGGAUUAGAACCUCGGUAGUCAGACCAAGUCCAUCUGUCACCUGUC